UCUCUCUUCAUCACACCAGGUAAUCCCCGAUACUUGUACCAUUUUCUUGGGUCACCGAAGAACCCGCAUCAUGUAGCCGAAACUUCUGGUGCUUGUGUCAUAGACACACCAGUUUUGACCCAAAAAAAACUUGCUCUCAUGUCUAUAGGGUUGAUGUUGUUGAUGAAAUCUGCUUGUUUUCGCAAGAAUUGAUAUUGGGACGAGAAAAUGGAAGAAAGGCUCAACCAAAAUUGUUGUAGUAAGGAGGAGGAGGAAGAAGGUAUCACAACAAGAAGGAUAUUUGUGGGAGGAUUGGGAGAAACUGUGACCAGCGAUGAUAUUCACAAGAUGUUGUCAUCUUUGGGAACGGUUAAGGCAGUGGAUAUUGUGAGGACCUAAGGUCGUAGAUUUGCUUAUUUGGACUUCCUUCCCUCAUUCGCACAAUCUCUUUCCAAGCUCUUCAGCACGGUAUUACUUGGGUGCUUCUAGGAGCAAUGAGGCAGGUGAGCGUGCUAGCCGGCGUCUCAAGUUAAUGAGCAGAAAGGGAGUAAGAAUGACAUCUUUCAGUUGGCAUGGUGCUUUUGGAAGGGGCAAAAUAGCAGAAGCUUGGGCGGGGAGGGGAAAGGGAUUAGAACUUUGGAAAGAAACCUUCAAGAUAUGGUUCUGAGGUCCUAGUAUAACUGGUUGAAGGAUGUUAUACCUACGAGGUUCUCAGUUUCAGAUUUCAUUGAUAAUCUGGCCUGUUGAGUGGCUAGGAUGAUGUUUUCUGCUUGUUGCUUAGAUGCAUGCUCUGGUAUUAGAAGUUUGGGAAGCAACCUUCAAGCUAUUUAUAUUAUGCAUCCUCAUGAAGACAUUUAUCUUUCUGUGACGGGUGACAAAUGUUAUAAAUCAUGUUUCUAUGUUUUA